rnacentral:rRNA from 1 species
AUUGAACGCUGGCGGCAGGCCUAACACAUGCAAGUCGAACGAGUGGCGGACGGGUGAGUAAUGUCUGGGAAACUGCCCGAUGGAGGGGGAUAACUACUGGAAACGGUAGCUAAUACCGCAUACCAUCGGAUGUGCCCAGAUGGGAUUAGCUAGUAGGUGGGGUAACGGCUCACCUAGGCUACGAUCCCUAGCUGGUCUGAGAGGAUGACCAGCCACACUGGAACUGAGACACGGUCCAGAUUCCUACGGGAGGAAGCAGUGGGGAAUAUGGCACAAUGGGCGCAAGCCGGAUGCAGCCAUGCCGCGUGUAUGAAGAAGGCCUUCGGGUUGUAAAGUACCUUCAGCGAGGAGGCGUUACUCGCAGAAGAAGCACCGGCUAACUCCGUGCUAGCAGCCGCGGUAAUAC